UAUACAUGCAAGUCGAACGAACUCUGGUAUUGAUUGGUGCUUGCAUCAUGAUUUACAUUUGAGUGAGUGGCGAACUGGUGAGUAACACGUGGGAAACCUGCCCAGAAGCGGGGGAUAACACCUGGAAACAGAUGCUAAUACCGCAUAACAACUUGGACCGCAUGGUCCGAGCUUGAAAGAUGGCUUCGGCUAUCACUUUUGGAUGGUCCCGCGGCGUAUUAGCUAGAUGGUGGGGUAACGGCUCACCAUGGCAAUGAUACGUAGCCGACCUGAGAGGGUAAUCGGCCACAUUGGGACUGAGACACGGCCCAAACUCCUACGGGAGGCAGCAGUAGGGAAUCUUCCACAAUGGACGAAAGUCUGAUGGAGCAACGCCGCGUGAGUGAAGAAGGGUUUCGGCUCGUAAAACUCUGUUGUUAAAGAAGAACAUAUCUGAGAGUAACUGUUCAGGUAUUGACGGUAUUUAACCAGAAAGCCACGGCUAACUACGUGCCAGCAGCCGCGGUAAUACGUAGGUGGCAAGCGUUGUCCGGAUUUAUUGGGCGUAAAGCGAGCGCAGGCGGUUUUUUAAGUCUGAUGUGAAAGCCUUCGGCUCAACCGAAGAAGUGCAUCGGAAACUGGGAAACUUGAGUGCAGAAGAGGACAGUGGAACUCCAUGUGUAGCGGUGAAAUGCGUAGAUAUAUGGAAGAACACCAGUGGCGAAGGCGGCUGUCUGGUCUGUAACUGACGCUGAGGCUCGAAAGUAUGGGUAGCAAACAGGAUUAGAUACCCUGGUAGUCCAUACCGUAAACGAUGAAUGCUAAGUGUUGGAGGGUUUCCGCCCUUCAGUGCUGCAGCUAACGCAUUAAGCAUUCCGCCUGGGGAGUACGGCCGCAAGGCUGAAACUCAAAGGAAUUGACGGGGGCCCGCACAAGCGGUGGAGCAUGUGGUUUAAUUCGAAGCUACGCGAAGAACCUUACCAGGUCUUGACAUACUAUGCAAAUCUAAGAGAUUAGACGUUCCCUUCGGGGACAUGGAUACAGGUGGUGCAUGGUUGUCGUCAGCUCGUGUCGUGAGAUGUUGGGUUAAGUCCCGCAACGAGCGCAACCCUUAUUAUCAGUUGCCAGCAUUAAGUUGGGCACUCUGGUGAGACUGCCGGUGACAAACCGGAGGAAGGUGGGGAUGACGUCAAAUCAUCAUGCCCCUUAUGACCUGGGCUACACACGUGCUACAAUGGAUGGUACAACGAGUUGCGAACUCGCGAGAGUAAGCUAAUCUCUUAAAGCCAUUCUCAGUUCGGAUUGUAGGCUGCAACUCGCCUACAUGAAGUCGGAAUCGCUAGUAAUCGCGGAUCAGCAUGCCGCGGUGAAUACGUUCCCGGGCCUUGUACACACCGCCCGUCACACCAUGAGAGUUUGUAACACCCAAAGUCGGUGGGGUAACCUUUUAGGAACCAGCCGCCUAAG
rnacentral:rRNA from 1 species